CACGUUUCGAAAUCAAAGCAGAAAUAUGGGAAUAAUCCUUCUAUAUUUACUUACAAUCGGUUUUUCCACCUACAACGUCCAGGCAUCUCAAUCUGUUUGUCCUGCAGACGGUUGGUACUUUGAAGAUUGUAUUAAAUUUUUGAAUAGAACUGUAGAGACGUUACAAAACCAAGUGAAUGGCCUUUCUGUGCAGUUAAGUACUCAAUUAGAACUGAUCGCAGUUCAAACCUCUCAAUUAAUAAGGCUGUCAACGCAAUUGAACGAAACAGGUGCUGAAGUAGCGGGACUAGGAGCUAAUCCAAUUCCAAUUGGUUUUAUUUAUGUACAACUUUCUAAUCAACAAUCACCCGAUAGUUUGUGGUCGAAAUUCACGUGGCAAGACAUAAGCGACACUUACGCUGGACUAUUCUUCCGUGUACUUGGAGGAGGGUCGUCGGCCUUUGGUAUUACGCAAUCUGAAAACAGUCCGAGAAUAACUCAUGUACAAACGAUGA